GGAUGUAGCUCAGAGAUAGAGUACUUGCCUAGCAUGCAUAAGGCCCUGGGUUCAAUCCUCAGUACCA
rnacentral:tRNA from 1 species